UACAGAGGGGGCAAGCGUUGUUCGGAAUUACUGGGCGUAAAGGGCGCGUAGGCGGCCCGCUAAGUCGAACGUGAAAUCCCCGAGCUCAACUCGGGAACUGCGUCCGAUACUGGUGGGCUUGAAUCCGGGAGAGGGAUGCGGAAUUCCAGGUGUAGCGGUGAAAUGCGUAGAUAUCUGGAGGAACACCGGUGGCGAAGGCGGCAUCCUGGACCGGCAUUGACGCUGAGGCGCGAAAGCUAGGGGAGCAAACGUG
rnacentral:rRNA from 1 species